rnacentral:lncRNA from 1 species
CUAUAGUUCAAAUUAAAUAUUAAUUAUUAAUGUACAGUUUAUUUCAAAAUUUAUUCAACAGGUAAGUUAGUGCUGUUCGACUUAUACGUCCUGACAAUAUCUUUUACCUUUUUGCCUUCCUAAUGGUUUAUUAUAUUAGAUAAGAGUACUUGUAUGUACCCCAUUCACUUUUCCUUUUAGCUUUAUUAAGAAACUUUCUAACAUUAAGCCUAAGACUGAUAAGCUGUGUAGUGGGUUUCAGGAUACUAUAGCCUUUUUUGAACACUACAGUUGAUUAAAUUUACACAGAUAUUAAAUAAUAACUUUAAUAUUUACAUCGGAGUAUAUAUAGACAUACUAAAUACAAUGACGAGAACGAACACGUGUGUCCAACAUGGAGAGACGAUAUCCGAGGUGAGUCUUGCGUGUGUCGAGGAGGUCGGCAAAAGUGAAGGUAAAGGGGCCGCGUUGACCCGGGGCAUGUGCUCUCUUCAGGAGGUGAAGCGCCAUCUAGGAGGACCACCUGUGAUGACAUCGACUGGUGAGGGAGUUGCUGCAAGCUGUUUAUAAGACUGAUGAGCCAGCUUUUUAACUGGACAGUUUAUGUGGUAGGAUAAGAAAACUGCCUGUUGAAUCUGGUCAGCAGUCAUCUCUAAAUCCACCACCAAGCAAAAUCUGCUCUGUAUACCCCUCAGAUUAAAUCUAAAGUCUUCCCUAAAGGAAGUUCAAUUAGUCCUCCGAGGGUCUCUGUAUG